rnacentral:rRNA from 1 species
GCAUAUCAAUAAGCGGAGGAAAAGAAACUAACAAGGAUUCCCUUAGUAACGGCGAGUGAAGCGGGAAGAGCUCAAAUUUGAAAUCUUCAAGGUUCUACCUUGACGAAUUGUAGUUUAAAGAAGUGUUUUCUGUUAGAUGAGUAGCAAAAGUUCCUUGGAAUGGGACAUCAUAGAGGGUGAGAAUCCCGUAUUUGGUUAUUCAUUCUAGCUUUGUGAUACACUUUCAAAGAGUCGGAUUGUUUGGGAAUGCAGUCCAAGAUGGGUGGUAAAUUUCAUCUAAAGCUAAAUAUUGGCGAGAGACCGAUAGCGAACAAGUACCGUGAGGGAAAGAUGAAAAGAACUUUGAAAAGAGAGUUAAACAGUACGUGAAAUUGUCAAAAGGGAAGCGUUUGACACCAGUGUUGUUUUUCCGAAAAUCAAUUACGAAUGGCUUGAUUUUGUGUUGUAUUGACCUUAUCAGCUUUCUGCACUUUUUUCGAGUCUUUCUUAAUGCACUUUUCGGUUAACAAGUCAACAUCAAUUUCUUUUGUUGUAAAAGAGUAUUCGGAAGGUGGCUUUCUUUUCGGAGAAAGUGUUUAUAGCCCUAUACUUCUACAAUCGGAGAGAUUGAGGUCUGCAGCGUAGAUCCUUCGGGGUUAGAUACACUUGUGCUAAGUUGUAGCUUUUCAUAGACAACUUGUUGACUAUGUUUAGUCAUGCGGCUUACUCGCUUGUGCUAUUUUACCUACGCUUAGGAUGUUGACAAAAUGGUUUUAAACGACCCGUCUUGAAACACGGACC